GAUGAACGCUGGCGGCGUGCCUAAUACAUGCAAGUCGAGCGAACGGACGAGAAGCUUGCUUUUCUGAUGUUAGCGGCGGACGGGUGAGUAACACGUGGAUAACCUACCUAUAAGACUGGGAUAACUUCGGGAAGCCGGAGCUAAUACCGGAUAAUAUUUUGAACCGCAUGGUUCAAAAGUGAAAGACGGUCUUGCUGUCACUUAUAGAUGGAUCCGCGCUGCAUUAGCUAGUUGGUAAGGUAACGGCUUACCAAGGCAACAAUGCAUAGCCGACCUGAGAGGGUGAUCGGCCGCACUGGAACUGAGACACGGUCCAGACUCCUACGGGAGGCAGCAGUAGGGAAUCUUCCGCAAUGGGCGAAAGCCUGACGGAGCAACGCCGCGUGAGUGAUGAAGGUCUUCGGAUCGUAAAACUCUGUUAUUAGGGAAGAACAUAUGUGUAAGUAACUGUGCACAUCUUGACGGUACCUAAUCAGAAAGCCACGGCUAACUACGUG
rnacentral:rRNA from 1 species